CCAAUAGCGUAUAUUAAAGUUGCUGCGGUUAAAAAGCUCGUAGUUGAAUUUCGGAAUUGAUGCAUCGGUCGUGUCUUAAGGGGCAUGAACUGGUGUAACCAAUUUCUCACUUUCUGGUGAAUUGUGAUGUCUUAAUUGGUGUCUCAAUGAACUGGAAUUUUUUACUUUGAAAAAAUUAGAGUGUUUAAAGCAGGCAUUGAUUUGCUUGAAUACAUUAGCAUGGAAUAAUGAAAUAGGACGGUGGUUCUGUUUUGUUGGUUUCUAGGAUCACGUAAUGAUUAAUAGGGACAGUUGGGGGCAUUAGUAUUCAAUUGUCAGAGGUGAAAUUCUUGGAUUUAUUGAAGACUAACUAUUGCGAAAGCAUUUGCCAAGGAUGUUUUCAUUAAUCAAGAACGAAAGUUAGGGGAUCAAAGACGAUUAAGUACGUCGUAGUCCUAACCAUAAACUAUGCCGACUAGGAAUCAGACGAUGUUAAUUUUUUAAUGACUCGUUUGGUACCUUACG
rnacentral:rRNA from 1 species